AUUGAACGCUGGCGGCAUGCCUUACACAUGCAAGUCGAACGGCAGCACGGGGGCAACCCUGGUGGCGAGUGGCGAACGGGUGAGUAAUAUAUCGGAACGUGCCCUGGAGUGGGGGAUAACUAGUCGAAAGACUAGCUAAUACCGCAUACGAUCUACGGAUGAAAGUGGGGGAUCGCAAGACCUCAUGCUCGUGGAGCGGCCGAUAUCUGAUUAGCUAGUUGGUGGGGUAAAAGCCUACCAAGGCAUCGAUCAGUAGCUGGUCUGAGAGGACGACCAGCCACACUGGGACUGAGACACGGCCCAGACUCCUACGGGAGGCAGCAGUGGGGAAUUUUGGACAAUGGGGGCAACCCUGAUCCAGCAAUGCCGCGUGAGUGAAGAAGGCCUUCGGGUUGUAAAGCUCUUUUGUCAGGGAAGAAACGGUCUGGGCUAAUACCCUGGGCUAAUGACGGUACCUGAAGAAUAAGCACCGGCUAACUACGUGCCAGCAGCCGCGGUAAUACGUAGGGUGCAAGCGUUAAUCGGAAUUACUGGGCGUAAAGCGUGCGCAGGCGGUUGUGCAAGACAGAUGUGAAAUCCCCGGGCUUAACCUGGGAAUUGCAUUUGUGACUGCACGGCUAGAGUGUGUCAGAGGGGGGUAGAAUUCCACGUGUAGCAGUGAAAUGCGUAGAGAUGUGGAGGAAUACCGAUGGCGAAGGCAGCCCCCUGGGAUAACGCUGACGCUCAUGCACGAAAGCGUGGGGAGCAAACAGG
rnacentral:rRNA from 1 species